UCUAAACCAGGUUGUCUGAAAGUUGGGUACAUUCUUUUAGAGCAGAAAUGUUACUCAAGGAGCUUCUACAUGAUAUGUCCCUCAUGGGGGACGUGGUCUUCACAAGGAACAAUUGGCUCCUACAUCCCAGAUGGCAUGGCAGAGUCAAAUGAUCGUAGACAUGUUGUUAGCAGAGAAAGGAGGCAUUUGUGUUAUGCUCAGAGAGGCAUGUUGUACUGUACUUACAUCCCGAAUAACACUGAUUCUAAUAGUACUGUAGCGAAGGCGCUCCACGGCCUUCAGAGUCUCAGGGAGAAAUGGGCUGCAACUCAGGUAUAGAUUCUUCCCCUUGGAAUUGGCUAGACGAAAUGUCUGGAAAAUGAAAAUCUGUUCUCAUGUCUGAAGCUGUUUCCUUUAUCAUUGUGAUGGCUGUGAUUCUUUUGCUUGGUUGUUUUGUUAUCACACUGGUUAGAGGUCUCAUCAUGUGUGCGACCUCAGCAACACUCUCGUAUCAAAUGACACAAUGUUCAGAAACCCCGACUCCAAUUCACUUAAUGACUUUGAUGAUGAUCUUGGUUUCUCUGAUGAUGAUGACGAUGAUGCUGAGACUACAAUAGGUAAUUACUUUAUUGUGACAAUCUUUUUAUUUCUCCUCUCUUUGUUGUUUGUUAUCUGAUCACGAAACAUAAUCUGAUACAAAUACGAUUAUUGGCUUAUUUUCUUCACAUGCUUGUACAGAGGUUAUUCUUGUUUAACUACCCACAAAAACGGCUCCAACAUUUUAUACCUAAGUUACCUGCAUUUUAUUUGAAGGUGUAUUUUUGAAUCUUGAUGAGUUAAUACACUCAUUUUUUUCAUUUGCAAGGGUCUUUUAGUAUUACAAAAUGCGAUGUUUGACAAUUUUUAUUCUUGUGGUUUUUUUCUAGUGUUUGAUUAAUGUGUAAUCAAAAGGGGGGAGUGUUAUGGGAAAAAUUGCUUCUUCCUUAUUCUAUGCAGUUAUUAUAUGAUUUAUGACUUAUGUUCUGCAAUUAUUAUGUCAUGUUUUGUCUUCCAUCUGUUUUAUGUAUUCGACAUUUCACCUAGGUUGUUCAAUGGUUUCUCUGCCUGAUAGACUCUGGACUCUAGCUCCCAAACCCAUGGCCGGGGAGGUGUCUCUCUGUCUGUUGAGACUUAGCGCUCCUUCCUCUCUGAUAGUUAGACGUCAGUGAUGGAGGUGUGAGAAUGUAAACAUCUCCACACACACAGGGUGUGUGACAGGGUGACAGGGACGAGAUGCUACAUGCAAUCUGAUUUGGCCACACAGACGUUCCACCGUUUUCGGACAGAAGGAUUAAAAGGCAAAGACAACUUGAGGAUCGGGGGCUCUUUGCAUCACACCUUCGUGGUGUAUGCACUGAUCUCCCUAGCUGGUUUUUGGUUUGUCAAUGUGCACGAUCAACAUCCAUGAUUUUGACUUGCUUUCCCCAUUAUUUUUAUUUUCUUUUAUUUUUGUAAUAAAUCUCACAAAAGACAACUCUCUUAUCUGCCUCUUUUUGAAAUUUCCACCACACUCUGCCACAGACACUAGUCGAAAAACCAACAACAAGAGGGGCUUCAGAUGUGAUAGAGCUGCAUGCGAAGACCCAGAAAAUGUCUGUUAUGGCUGUGGUCAGGAGGGGCAUUGGAAGAAGAACUGUCCCUGCUACGUCAGGCUUCACCCACUCGGGCGCUCACAUCAGACUGAUGGUUGGGGAAGCAGGAAGGUGACGGUUCCUUUUCACGUGAUGUAGAAGACGGUACCACAAACACACACACACACACACACACACACACACAUCCAUACACGCAAUGAAGAAAUAUGCUUACACGCUCAAUUAAUCCAAAUUCAUGCUUAUCUGUUUGCAAUAAAGCCUCGCUUUUUGCUCAAAACCUCGCACAGUGUGAUUUUAAAAUGAUAACAAACAGCUGAUUGACAACUGCUGCAUGACUAUUGUAGAAAAACUUACUGUCUUGAGCAACAUCUGGCAGCAAGACAUCUAAACAUAUAUUUUUGCUUUCAAACUUAUGCCCAGUUAAACUUAUUAGGAAGACAUCUCGUGUAGUAUAAGCAGUUCAUUCAAUUCCCCUUUCAGAUGGAGUGCAUGUUACAUCUACAGACAUUCUAAAUCAGUGAUCCCCAACCCCCGGGCCGCGGACCAGUACAAGUCACUGGGUCAUUUGGUAAAGAAAAAAAAUCUCACAUUAUUUCUGUUUUAUUUAUUGUGUGAUUCUGAACAAUGUUAUUUUGGAAAAUUACAUGAAUCUCUUGGCUAAAUCGGCCUACGACUCGGUCUUGGCACGUUAAAACGCUUGUCCUGGUCACUUGUCUUACUUACAACCGCUACCUUACCUGCUCCGGUAGAUAACACGUUAAACAUUACCGCUAAAUUAAAACCCCCAAGCUAACGAACAUGUUUCUUUGUGCAACGUAAAAGAGCCAAUGAGGCAGAAGAAGAACCAACGACUACAAAUAAAAAGAAAGCUGCAUUUAACAGACAAUACCAGUCCUACCUAAAACAUGGACUUAUUACGACUGGUUGUUCCAAGUCCGCUCUGCAUAAUGUGCAGCGACUGGUUCUAACAAGGCAAUCAAUCCUUCAAGCUGCUUCAUCACUUGGAGAUCAAGCAUGUCAAAGCUGCACACAUGGUGGAUGCAAGUUUAUUAUUAUAAAUAGAAAAUAACAGUUUUCAUCCCAAUCGUAACAUUUUUUUUUGUUAGGGUUAGGGUUAUAUUUCGCCUCACCAUAAAGACCGGUCCGUUAAAAUAUUGUGACAUUAAACCGGUCCGUGGCGCAAAAAAGGUUGGGGACCACUGUUUUAAAUAAUCCCUCUUUUGUUGGUGUUAACUUCAGCUCAGCUGUACUCUUAUGAUUGGCUGCUGAGAGGGGGCUGUAAUUGAGGGCCUCAUGCAAGCUUGUUUCCCCAUGUGAUACGAUCUCCAGAGAUGCAUCUGACCUGUCCUGUACAGAACAUGUGUCUUCUGGUCCUUUGAAGAGUUUGACGAGUUAUGCAUUCACACACACAACAAACUGGCCUCAACUUCCCUCUUUUGGGAUGAACACAGGUCUGUGCUUGCAAUUUCUUUUACUAACGAACAAAAGUGUUUGUUGAUUUUUAUUCUACAAUUCCAUACGUCCCUCUGUCAAACCAAGAUGGAGACAGAUGGCAGGACGUGGGUCCAUUCGAGAACAGGGGCCCGUUUCAAGAAGGAGGUUUAACAAACUGAGUUUAAACUAAACUAAAAGUUGAUUUACGCUGAGUUUGCAAACCUGGAGUUUUCGGUUUCAGAACAGCUGAUAAGAGUAAGUUUAAAGGGGUCAUAUCAUGCAAAAUCCACUUUUUAGACAUUUUGGCGCUUUCCUAUGACUCUAUGGUUCACACACACUGAGCACGGUAGAAAUGCAUUUCCUCCUUUUUUCACAUUUUGAAAACGUAAAUUUUCUCAUCCAAUGGAGACAGACCUCGUCCUACACUGAGACUGUUCCCCUGUCGUCCCAUUGGUAGGAAGUCUUCCCUGCAAAUCCUGAACCACCACCCCCACAAUGAUCCCGAACCAAAACUGGACUUCCGCCAUCCCCCCCCCUCUCACUCACCGUGAACAGAAGAACACGGCAGCGCCCAAGUCCUCCUAUAAAAAUAGUUUGGUUCUUGGGUGUUUUAACCAACACCAAAGUCUCUUCACUUUACCAAGGGAUCAACAAAUGAGGACUUUGUGAGUCACUUUUAUUUUAAACAGACCGGUGCCAGAAACACUGCCUCAGCAUUUAUACGUAUGUGCAUUUCAAACGAGGGUGCGUACAAUGCUGGAUUUGUUUCACGGCUUCUGUUGGAAAAAAAUGAUCUAUUCCUACAGUCCAUCAUUCACUCACUGAAGGGGACACAUCCCAGUUACCCACAUGCAAGGAGGCUGUCAAACAGAGAAAUCACUGCAGACUGUUGGUACACAGACAUCUGCUGCCCAGCUCAGGAGUGAAGUACCUUUUGUUUUGAUGAAGCUAUGGUGAGGACAGCCACAGCUUCCAUCUGGUAGAGGACUGCUUCCGCUUAGUCUUCCAAAUAGUGAUGAGAACAAGGAUUACCACAUCUCCCUGGUCAUCUAUUUACAACCAUACCUGUCCUGCUGCAGAAACAAAUCUCCAACAUAACCAAGUGUACCCCCUACCCAGGACAUGGACUGUUUACCCUACUUCCAUCAAGCAUUUAAUAUGCAAGGCCCUGCAAAAGCUUCUGUCUUUAAAUCCCCAGACUUCUUAAUUAACUCAGUAACCUAUACAUUGCACAUUGGAGUGUGAAAGUAACAGUUCUAGCUUUGGAGAAGUGGCAUUUUUUUGGUUGACAAUAAAGUUGGCUUUAACUUUUACGUAUUUCACUGAACUCUGUUUCUGAAAGGAAAACACUUUUAUUCAGGAAAUCAUAGUAUUGAAAUUACAUGUUUUUCUCUUUCUAAUAUGGUAAGAUAUAAAGGUGAACCGGCCAUAAAUAAAAAGCAUAAAUUAUAUGUAAAUUUAAAAAAAAUCAGUAUUGCACUCACAAAAACACAUUUUUACUCAAAUGGUAAAAGUUAUUCCACAGGUGGUCUACAUCGAUCAUACAAUGAGUGUUUUAGUGUUUUAUCCAUCAAGAAACUCAGCCUUCAUCUACAACCCAAGCAUGAAGAGAUGGCAACUCAGAUUCUUCAACCCAGGAAUCCUCAGCACCAGCUCACUAGCCUCUGUAGACUAGAUACCUGUAACAACUUCAGAUACAGAGACAUAUUACUGUCAGAUUUAUCAAGAAUGAUCAAAAAACAUAAUUAAAAGCAGUAAAAAUACAUCAGGUCAAUAUAUAAUUUGAACCAAUGCUUUUUGUUCCCAGGUAGGUCAUGCAGUGAUUGCUCUAAAUAUUAAUGCACAUUUUUAAAUAAAAUUAUGUCAGAGCAGCAGCACAAGUAAGACAAAAACUGAAAUGUGUAAAUGUAAAAUGUGUUUAUAUUAUUUCAGUUAUGCUAUUAAACUUUUAUUUAUUUGUAUAAUGUAAGCUAAAAUAGUGUUUUCUAUUAGCGAGAGUUUUCGAGGUAAGUCGUGUUGUGAAUAUUCAAGCUGCACAGGCCAUUUAGCAUACACAUUAGCAACCGCUAGCCGCUUCGCAAAUUACAUAAAUCAAUUAAAUUGAAGUAAAUGCGACAUUAACAAUGAGACACAUCUUGCAUCAGCCGAAAUGUGAUGACUUCAACAGCCUCCUCUUCAGCUUCAGGGUCAGAUUCAGGAUCGUAGACGCAUGGUUCUACUACGCUACCGAACCAGUUGGCUGGCUAAUGUCGUGCAGUCUUGUAGUGGGUCUUCUUCUUCUGUGGAGGAUUGUGGUGGAUUGCAUUUUCAAUGUCGCACUACUGCCACCUAUAGUAUCCUAGAGCCAAUAUAAAAAAAACAAAAAAGGUA